rnacentral:rRNA from 1 species
UACAGAGGUCCCAAGCGUUGUUCGGAUUCAUUGGGCGUAAAGGGUGCGUAGGCGGCGCGGUAAGUCGGGUAUGAAAUCUCGGAGCUUAACUCCGAAACUGCAUUCGAUACUGCCGUGCUUGAGGACUGGAGAGGAGACUGGAAUUUACGGUGUAGCAGUGAAAUGCGUAGAGAUCGUAAGGAAGACCAGUGGCGAAGGCGGGUCUCUGGACAGUUCCUGACGCUGAGGCACGAAGGCCAGGGGAGCAAACGGG